CUUAACCUACGGGAGGCAGCAGUGGGGGAUAUUGCACAAUGGGGGGAACCCUGAUGCAGCGACGCCGCGUGGGUGAAGAAGUAUUUCGGUAUGUAAAGCCCUAUCGGCAGGGAAGAAAUUGGACGGUACCUGACUAAGAAGCCCCGGCUAACUACGUGCCAGCAGCCGCGGUAAUACGUAUGGUGCAAGCGUUAUCCGGAUUUACUGGGUGUAAAGGGAGCGCAGGCGGCGCGUUAAGCCUUGUGUGAAAUGCCGCGGCCCAACCGCGGGACUGCAUUGGGAACUGGCGCGCUGGAGGUCCGGAG
rnacentral:rRNA from 1 species